AAAAAAGGGAAAAAACUUCCGAACACUCUUAGAGAGAAUGCUUGGCCUAGCACCAAUGCCGAAAUAAAAGACCAAGCCCCCCCAACACCAAGAUUUCUGCCCCAAACUAGUAUUCUAGGUGGAAAUUAUAAUAAUUUUCUCUCAUGUCCCCCACUCUACCCUUUCUCUCCCAUAUAUAAUUCUCUUAGCUGCUGCAUCACAUGCAUCCGAGAAUUGCUCAACAAAAUUGAUUUGAGCUGGCCAACUAAUUGCAAUCCUUCCAGAACUUUUUACUUAAUCUAGAAAAUGGUUCUACCCCCAAGCUAGUGUUCUAGCUGGAAAUUACAAUAACUUUCUCUCAUAUCCCCGACUCUACCCUUUCUCCCCCAUAUAUAAUUCUCUUAGCCACUGCAUCACAUGCACACGAGAGUUGCACCAACAAAACUGGGUUGAGUUAGCCAACCAAUUGCAAUCCUUCCAGAACUUUCUUACUUCAUCUAGAAUACACCAUAUCCCUAACAAAAUCUCUGAAAUUAAAAUUAAAACCAAGCUACAUUAGUUAUCCUAGAAAUAAGUUUAGUUCAACAUUAUCAAAGAUUCAAGAACUAAUUUAUCUGAUUCACAACAUAAGGAACUCAUCAUAACAAUGAAAACUAAAUAUUGAAAUCAAAAUAAAUGAGGAAACGAAGAAAAACUCUGAAAUUGUUGGAAGAUCUUCUCCCAGGUUCCUUGAAUUUUCAUUGAAUCGUCAGUAAGUGGUUGUGUCUCUAGUUGGCCGAUGAUUCAAUGUUACGCGGCUAGGUUUGAGUGUAAUCGGCAAAAGAAGAUCCCUCACUUGAUGAAAAUAUCCCCUUUUUUUGUGUUGUCCUUUAUUACGGUUUGAAGAAUGACCAGGCUAUUUCCAAAUAACAUGGGCCUAGG
rnacentral:misc_RNA from 1 species